GUGCUCACUGGGUCUCAGUUUCUUCCAUGUGGUCCUGAUCUGCCUUCCAUGACUGAAAGAAAUUGAACUGUUUUGGGGGGGUCUCCUGUCUAAAUAGACUGGGAGAUUAUGGUUUUCAGUGAAACA
ensembl:snoRNA